AAUGAACGCUGGCGGCGCGCCUAAUACAUGCAAGUCGAGCGAGAAGACGUAGCAAUACGUUUGUAAAGCGGCGAACGGGUGAGGAAUACAUGGGUAACCUACCCUAGAGUGGGGAAUAACUAGCCGAAAGGUUAGCUAAUACCGCGUACGCUCCUUGGACUUCGGUUCAGGGAGGAAAGCGAUGCCGAGGGUAUCGCGCUCUUGGAUGGGCUCAUGUCCUAUCAGCUUGNGGUGAGGUAACGGCUCACCAAGGCUUCGACGGGUAGCUGGUCUGAGAGGACGAUCAGCCACACUGGCACUGCGACACGGGCCAGACUCCUACGGGAGGCAGCAGUAAGGAUAUUGCGCAAUGGGCGAAAGCCUGACGCAGCGACGCCGCGUGGGGGAGUGAAGGUC
rnacentral:rRNA from 1 species